AGAAGACAAAUGAAAUUGUUCUCUUGAUAGCAAUUCACUAUUCUCUUUAGAGAAACUAUGAAAUUGUCGAAACAAUUGUACACAAACCAAAAGUAUUUACUUCAAACUUUUUUAUUAUAUUAUUAAUAUUUUAUAUAUUUAUUUUUGUACGUGUUCGGGCAUAUUAUUAUUUUUUUUUACCGAAAAAUCAUUUCUUAGCCAUUAACGUACAUUGAUGUCGAAAACGAAUCAAAAGCAUAAAAACGGUAGCAAAGCUGCUCAUCAAAUGAAAACCGUUAAAAAAAACUUAACAUAUUGGUCUGUAAAACUUGUGUGUGCACAUUUUAACGAACGUUCACAUUUCCUGCUCUAUAACUGAUUGGCAUUCAUCAUCCGUAGCGACGGCACACAAAGUUCCAACGCGGUCAUUAUCGUAUUUUCUAGUUGUUGCAGUAACAAGCUGUGGCGUCGCCCUUUUUGUUUUAUUCUCCCAGGGUAUAACGAUUGGUAGUAUGUCGGAUUCACUCCAGUCUAUUAUUAAUGAUUACUUUUCUCUUGAAAUUUAAUUUUCAUUCUAGCAUAUUAUCUUUUCGUUAUAUUAUACAACUUUUCACUUUGCUUUUUAAUAUCAAAAGUUGAAAUUCACCUCAAAUUUUGUAUUAAUAGCUUCUUUAUUCGAUAUACAAAUGUACAUAUUUAACUGCACAAUACUAAUAACCAAGAACCGCACUACUAAACCGAAGAGGAAACGUCAAAUUGCACGAUGCGCACUCAGUACACUGUUUAUUCGUUGUUGCUGCCGCAGUCAUUGACGACAGGCACAUUUGUUUUUGUUUUGUUCUUUAUACCUGCAGAAAGCAUUCGCGCGGGCAAAACUACAGAUGCCCUCUUUUCACACAUACAAAACGGCUGAAUAUAGAGAGCGCCAAACUGAAAAGACCCUCCCAAACAGUCUAAAUGAAACAGUGUUGCAUUUUGUAGUAUACAGCGAUUAAAUACUACAUCAUAACGUGCAUUUUUAGGUAAAUUGUACAGAAAAUUACUGACGCACAACAUUAUAUGGUCUUCUUUCUGGUCAGUGACUUCUAUAACCAAACUUUAUAAAUAAAAUGAUAUUUUAGAUGGCAAACAAUAUGUAACAUAGUGUAUUAAUAAUCUAUAAUACUCUUUGUAUUCAUAAUACUGCGCUUUUUGCUUGUAUAUAUGUAUAAAUUUAGUUUCCAAAUAUCAAAAUGCUUUGGUAAAAUAAAAUAAAAAAAACUAAAUGAUUGAACUGUCAUUGAAAGUUUCAGGUCAAAUGACGUUUGGUCGCUGACUAAUGAAAAAGGGGAAACUCCUAUGGUUUCCCUCCAGUUGCACA